rnacentral:misc_RNA from 1 species
GAUGAAGAACGCAUCGAAAUGCGAUAAGUAAUGUGAAUUGCAGAUUUCAGUGAGUCAUCGAAUCUUUGAACGCACAUUGCGCCCGCCAGUAUUCUGGCGGGCAUGCCUGUUCGAGCGUCAUUUCAACCAUCAAGCCCCCGGGCUUGCGUUGGGGCCCUGCGGCUGCCGCAGGCCCCGAAAAGCAGUGGCGGGCUCGCUGUCACACCGAGCGCAGUAGCGAUUCUCGCUCCGGGCGUCGGCGGCGGGCACCGGCCGUGAAACCCCCCCACAUCCACAAGGUUGACCUCGGAUCAGGUAGGAAUACCCGCUGAACUUAAGCAUAUCAAUAAGCGGAGGA